GUGAGUACCCGGGGGCCCACCUCUCCGGCCGCACUCUCCCCUCUCAAGAGCUGGGCGGUGGUGGGAGGAGGAGGACGGGAAAACCGGCGAUGCCUCUGGGGUUUCUAGGUCGCGCGUCUGUUAACCGCAAACCGCCCAAAGUUAAGAUAGAGCAGCUCCCAGGACUUUCUUGACUACAGCGAUUUUGAUUGAAGUUUAGCCACCGUCUUUUCCAUUUUUAGAAAAGCUAUUCCGAAGUUUGGAAUGUUGACGAUGGUCGUGUUAUUUUUAACUUCCUGAUAUUUGAACGGCCAGGUGUCAGCGACCAUCCUUCCGUUCCACAGAAGCGUCUCUGAAGUUUGGGUCGGAUGCGCGGGGAACCCGCGGCAGGCGCGGGGAGGAGGCCUUGGCUAGGGCGCCGGCGAGGUUCGAGUUUGCCAGCCCCCCAACCUGGAAGAGAAGGGCCAGCCCCUCACACCCGGAAGGGAAGGGCCAGUCCCCCCAACACCUGGCGCCGAGGUCGCGGGGUUGCAGGGCGAGCGCGGGGUCGCGGCGAGCACGAGUACGGGUCCUCUCUGAUCGCUGGGCCUCGGCGCUGGCUGCUGAGUUUUUCCUUCUUUAAGGAAAUGUGAAACUGGUCUCAAUCGGUUGACCACCGUAAGGAAAUGGGAUUUACACUGUGGACAGAGAUGUGUCCUUUUCACUUCAUUUGAACCAAUAUGCCCGUGCCCCCGUGGAGGCUGAGUUGGAAAGUGACACGAAGCUGCCCCCACAAGAGAGCAGUGAAUAACCCUAUACCUUCCAAUUUGAAAUCAGAAGCAAAAAAGGCUGCCAAAAUAUUAAGAGAAUUCACAGAAAUAACUUCCAGAAAUGGACCUGAUAAGAUCAUUCCUGCUCACGUAAUUGCAAAGGCUAAAGGCCUUGCAAUUCUGUCUGUGAUCAAAGCCGGGUUCCUGGUGACUGCCAGAGGAGGCAGCGGGAUUGUAGUGGCGCGCCUUCCAGAUGGAAAGUGGUCUGCACCCUCAGCCAUUGGGAUAGCUGGCCUUGGUGGGGGAUUUGAAAUAGGAAUUGAGGUAUCAGACUUGGUGAUAAUUCUGAAUUAUGACCGUGCUGUAGAAGCUUUUGCAAAAGGUGGAAAUCUAACCCUUGGAGGGAACUUGACUGUGGCGGUUGGGCCCUUGGGAAGGAACUUGGAAGGAAAUGUGGCCCUGAGAAACUCCGAUGCCGUCUUCACCUACUGCAAGUCGAGGGGACUCUUUGCAGGCGUGUCUUUAGAAGGGAGCUGUUUGAUUGAAAGGAAAGAAACUAAUAGAAAAUUUUAUUGUCAAGAUAUCCGAGCUUAUGACAUUUUAUUUGGAGAUACACCGCGGCCUGCUCAAGCCGAAGAUCUUUAUGAAAUUCUUGAUUCCUUUACUGAAAAGUAUGAAAAUGAAGGACAACGAAUCAAUGCAAGAAAAGCAGCAAGGGAGCAGAGGAAGUCUUCUGUACUGUUUGGUUUUAUGUUUCACUCAGAAUUCUCAGAAAAUCUCUUUCUGUAGAACAUUCUGUCCCUGAUAUCAGGUUCCUAAGAACCUACUAAGCCUCCUUCGUAGUUUCACUGACUUCACGUUCUUGUGAAAAGGUCAUGCUACCUUGACAUUUUCUCUGUACAAAUUUCAGGGAAAAACAGAAUUUGUCUUCUGUGAUUGCAUUUCUCCAAGGAUGGAACUUUGUUGUAUCAAUAAUACAAAUAAUAUGUGGGAGGCCGAGGCAGGUGGAUCACUUGAGAUCAGGAGUUUCAGACCAGCCUGGCCAACAUGGCAAAACCCCCUCUCUACCAUAAAAACAGAAACACUAGCUGGGCGUGGUGGCGUGUGCCCAUCAUCUCAGCCACUCAGGAGGCUGAAACAGGAGGAUCGCUUGAGCCCAUGAGGUUGCACUGAGCCAGGAUCAUGCCAUUGCACUCAGCCUAGGCAACAGAGCAAGACCUUGUCUCAAUAAUAAUAUACGAAUAAUAGUUGCGGAUACUGAGGCCUUGGGGCACCGAGGGAUUGGUGUGCAUUGUUCAUGAGGGUCCACAGCACCUUUCAGAGUUGGUAUGAUGCCUGUUUCAUGGAAUAAAAACUGAAGCCUAG
rnacentral:sRNA from 1 species